AUUGAACGCUGGCGGCAGGCCUAACACAUGCAAGUCGAGCGGAUGAAGGGAGCUUGCUCCUGGAUUCAGCGGCGGACGGGUGAGUAAUGCCUAGGAAUCUGCCUGGUAGUGGGGGAUAACGUCCGGAAACGGGCGCUAAUACCGCAUACGUCCUGAGGGAGAAAGUGGGGGAUCUUCGGGCCUCACGCUAUCAGAUGAGCCUAGGUCGGAUUAGCUAGUUGGUGGGGUAAAGGCCUACCAAGGCGACGAUCCGUAACUGGUCUGAGAGGAUGAUCAGUCACACUGGAACUGAGACACGGUCCAGACUCCUACGGGAGGCAGCAGUGGGGAAUAUUGGACAAUGGGCGAAAGCCUGAUCCAGCCAUGCCGCGUGUGUGAAGAAGGUCUUCGAAUUGUAAAGCACUUUAAGUUGGGAGGAAGGGCAGUAAGUUAAUACCUUGCUGUUUUGACGUUACCAACAGAAUAAGCACCGGCUAACUUCGUG
rnacentral:rRNA from 1 species